rnacentral:misc_RNA from 1 species
CAACCAAUCAACACAGAAAUCUCAGGAGAGAUAUAUUCGCCCAAAAAUACACCAGAUAAUAAGCAAUCAUCAUUGGAUGAUCAGGAACCUACGAACUUCAGAUUUGUUGUGGCGUCGUGGGCAUUACCAAUUGAUCAAUCUGUACAAAUGGUAUUGUUUUCAAUGUACUCCAGUUUUUGCCACCUACCUGGCAACUGUCACUGAGGGCUGGACUAUCCCGGAUGAUGAAACUUUCCAUAGAAGCUGAACUAGAUGGCAACCAAUCAAGUCCUUCGCAUUUUUCAAUUUCUAGGCAUUUGAGAGAACUGAGCCGGGAAAGUUCGGGCAAACACUUUAGUUUCGGG